rnacentral:rRNA from 1 species
AACGAACGCUGGCGGCAUGCCUAACACAUGCAAGUCGAACGAGACCUUCGGGUCUAGUGGCGCACGGGUGCGUAACGCGUGGGAACCUGCCCUUAGGUUCGGAAUAACUCCCCGAAAGGGGUGCUAAUACCGGAUAAUGUCUUCGGACCAAAGAUUUCUCGCCUUUGGAUGGGCCCGCGUUGGAUUAGCUAGUUGGUAGGGUAAAAGCCUACCAAGGCGACGAUCCAUAGCUGGUCUGAGAGGAUGAUCAGCCACACUGGGACUGAGACACGGCCCAGACUCCUACGGGAGGCAGCAGUGGGGAAUAUUGGACGAUGGGCGAAAGCCUGAUCCAGCAAUGCCGCGUGAGUGAUGAAGGCCUUAGGGUUGUAAAGCUCUUUUACCCGGGAUGAUAAUGACAGUACCGGGAGAAUAAGCUCCGGCUAACUCCGUG